rnacentral:rRNA from 1 species
UACGGGGGAUGCGAGCGUUAUCCGGAUUUACUGGGUGUAAAGGGAGCGUAGGCGGCUUAGUAAGUCAGAAGUGAAAGCCCGCAGCUCAACUGCGGGACUGCUUUUGAAACUGCCAAGCUAGAGUGUCGGAGAGGUAAGUGGAAUUCCUAGUGUAGCGGUGAAAUGCGUAGAUAUCAGGAGGAACACCAGUGGCGAAGGCGGCUUACUGGACUGUAACUGACGUUGAGGCUCGAAAGCGUGGGGAGCAAACAGG